rnacentral:lncRNA from 1 species
GGAAAGCGAGUCCUCCGCCGUGGCCGAAGGCGGCCGCCAUGGCGCCGGCAGUGCCAGCGGGCGUCUUGCGACCCGGCUCGGGCUUCGCCACCAUUCACUGUGCUUCUCAAGCCACUUCGGCACUCUAAUUUCGCCCUGCUCUCUCUAGACGAUUUUUAAUACCUGGGAAAGUUACUCCCCAGUCUAACCUAAAAAGGUAGAAUUGAUGGGGUGGGGAAUUAACAGGAAGGCAUGAUCCUCGAGGAUAACGCUGACCAGGCGCUUCUUCCAACAAGCCUGUUUCCCUCUCUGUCGCCACCGUAGGAGUUCCUACAGCUCUCCCGCACAUUCUGUACGGAUUGUUUUUUAGUCAAGACGUUCUGUGCGAGAGGAGAAGUUACUUUAUGAACACCCUAACAGGGGAUCUUACGACCUCUUCCCCGCUCUCCACUCAGUCCUUUUAAAAACGCGAGGCAGGAUGAAGAACGCUAUUGAAGUACAUUCUAAAAUGAUCCCACCUGCAAUUUGGAUUUUUGGAGAAUCGGGAUCGGUGUAAAAUUCUACAUGCAUACACGUAUUUGCACAAGAAUAUUUAUAGCAACGUGGUUUUUAAUAGGAAACUAUCUAAAUGUUCAUUACAAGUGAAUUACAUAAAGCUCAAUACAUCCAUACUACGAAUCACUGAAGAGCUGCUAAAAUAGAUGAAAUAUAUUUAUAAUGGCAUGAACAACCGACACAAGACAGUUGCAGAGUAAUGUGUAUUUGUGAUUACAUUUAUGUUUUUAAGUUAUACAAACGCGUAUGUGCCUACGUGUAUGUAAAUUCAUAGGAAGACAAAUCAGAGGACGGUGGUUACCUGGGGAAAAGCAUGUGUUGUCCUAGGGUAUAGCUUUGCAGGAGAGCUUGGCAGAGCCUGCCAAACCUGAUCAGCUUUUCCACCUCUCAGCUACUGCUUUCGGCUCCCCAGCCUCAUAAACUCUCAGCUGCCACAUUACAAAUCAGCAGAUGUCUUGAGGUGAAAUGUGGUGCCAAAUGUCAAGCUCAACUUUUUGGAUCAUCUCUCCUGAAUUUCAGUUCCUCGAAUCCUCACUGUCCUGGGUCUCCAAUGCCUUCAAAAAGGAUUUU